GAUGAACGCUGGCGGCGUGCCUAAUACAUGCAAGUCGAGCGAAUGGAUUAAGAGCUUGCUCUUAUGAAGUUAGCGGCGGACGGGUGAGUAACACGUGGGUAACCUGCCCAUAAGACUGGGAUAACUCCGGGAAACCGGGGCUAAUACCGGAUAACAUUUUGAACCGCAUGGUUCGAAAUUGAACGGCGGCUUCGGCUGUCACUUAUGGAUGGACCCGCGUCGCAUUAGCUAGUUGGUGAGGUAACGGCUCACCAAGGCAACGAUGCGUAGCCGACCUGAGAGGGUGAUCGGCCACACUGGGACUGAAACACGGCCCAGACUCCUACGGGAGGCAGCAGUAGGGAAUCUUCCGCAAUGGACGAAAGUCUGACGGAGCAACGCCGCGUGAGUGAUGAAGGCUUUCGGGUCGUAAAACUCUGUUGUUAGGGAAGAACAAGUGCUAGUUGAAUAAGCUAGCACCUUGACGGUACCUAACCAGAAAGCCACGGCUAACUACGUGCCAGCAGCCGCGGUAA
rnacentral:rRNA from 1 species